ensembl:snRNA U6 U6 spliceosomal RNA
GUGCUCGCUUCAGCAGCACAUAUACUAAAACUGGAACGAUACAGAGAAGAUUAGCAUGGCCCCUGUGCAAGGAUGAUACGCAAAUUCGUGAAGCGUUCCAUAUUUUU